rnacentral:rRNA from 1 species
UACGUAGGGUGCAAGCGUUGUCCGGAAUUAUUGGGCGUAAAGAGCUCGUAGGCGGUUUGUCGCGUCUGCUGUGAAAACCCGAGGCUCAACCUCGGGCCUGCAGUGGGUACGGGCAGACUAGAGUGCGGUAGGGGAGAUUGGAAUUCCCGGUGUAGCGGUGAAAUGCGCAGAUAUCGGGAAGAACACCCGUGGCGAAGGCGGUUCUCUGGGACGGUACUGACGCUGGAGACGCGAAAGCGUGGGGAGCGAACAGG